rnacentral:rRNA from 1 species
GAUGAACGCUGGCGGCGUGCCUAAUACAUGCAAGUCGAGCGAACAGACGAGGAGCUUGCUCCUCUGACGUUAGCGGCGGACGGGUGAGUAACACGUGGAUAACCUACCUAUAAGACUGGGAUAACUUCGGGAAACCGGAGCUAAUACCGGAUAAUAUAUUGAACCGCAUGGUUAAAUAGUGAAAGACGGUUUUGCUGUCACUUAUAGAUGGAUCCGCGCCGCAUUAGCUAGUUGGUAAGGUAACGGCUUACCAAGGCGACGAUGCGUAGCCGACCUGAGAGGGUGAUCGGCCACACUGGAACUGAGACACGGUCCAGACUCCUACGGGAGGCAGCAGUAGGGAAUCUUCCGCAAUGGGCGAAAGCCUGACGGAGCAACGCCGCGUGAGUGAUGAAGGUCUUCGGAUCGUAAAACUCUGUUAUUAGGGAAGAACAAAUGUGUAAGUAACUAUGCACGUCUUGACGGUACCUAAUCAGAAAGCCACGGCUAACUACGU